rnacentral:rRNA from 1 species
UGGGCAACCUGCCCUCAGCUCUGGGAUAACCCCGGGAAACCGGGGCUAAUACGGGAUACGACCUCCGCGGGCAUCUGCGGAGGUGGAAAGGUUUUCCGGCUGAGGAUGGGCCCGCGGCCUAUCAGCUAGUUGGUGGGGUGAUGGCCCACCAAGGCGACGACGGGUAGCCGGCCUGAGAGGGCGACCGGCCACACUGGGACUGAGACACGGCCCAGACUCCUACGGGAGGCA